rnacentral:rRNA from 1 species
UACGGAGGGUGCGAGCGUUGUCCGGAAUCAUUGGGCGUAAAGAGCUCGUAGGCGGUUUGUCGCGUCUGCUGUGAAAACCCGAGGCUCAACCUCGGGCCUGCAGUGGGUACGGGCAGACUAGAGUGCGGUAGGGGAGAAUGGAAUUCCUGGUGUAGCGGUGGAAUGCGCAGAUAUCAGGAGGAACACCGAUGGCGAAGGCAGUUCUCUGGGCCGUAACUGACGCUGAGGAGCGAAAGCGUGGGGAGCGAACAGG